GACACCAGGGUUCCCUUCUUCACAACAGCUUUUGUGCGCGGUGCCGGGACCCCGGAGCUGGCUGCCUCGAGUCCGCGGGGCCUGGGCGAGCGGUGCUUAGAGAGGCGGCACUUUGUGCGGCGUUGGCGACUCCCACUCCAAAUGCCCCUCUUCCAUGCCAACUCCCAGCGGGUGGUCGGACCUAUGGGGGACAGGGCGGCACCUUAAACAUCCUGCAGGAGAUGACAACUACAUCUGAUCUGGAAGGAGGAGUCAAGAGAUUUCAAAGGACAGAAGAGAUCUAAGGGACUGGACUGUCAACAAGUAAAUACUUUUUCCACAGUGAGAUCCCACGGGAGAAAAAGGAAGAGAUGCC